rnacentral:rRNA from 1 species
GACGAACGCUGGCGGCGUGCCUAACACAUGCAAGUCGAGCGAAUGAAGUUCCUUCGGGAACGGAUUUAGCGGCGGACGGGUGAGUAACACGUGGGCAACCUGCCUCAUAGAGGGGAAUAGCCUUCCGAAAGGGAGAUUAAUACCGCAUAAGAUUGUAGUACCGCAUGGUACAGCAAUUAAAGGAGCAAUCCGCUAUGAGAUGGGCCCGCGGCGCAUUAGCUAGUUGGUGAGGUAACGGCGCACCAAGGCGACGAUCCAUAGCUGAUCUGAGAGGAUGAUCAGCCACACUGGGACUGAGACACGGCCCAGACUCCUACGGGAGGCAGCAGUGGGGAAUAUUGGACAAUGGGCGCAAGCCUGAUCCAGCCAUGCCGCGUGAGUGAAGAAGGCCUUCGGGUUGUAAAGCUCUUUCAGCGGGGACGAUGAUGACGGUACCCGCAGAAGAAGCCCCGGCUAACUUCGUGCCAGCCGCCGCGGUAACAC